GCAGUGGUGGUUCAGUGGCAGAAUUCUCGCCUUCCAUGCGAGAGACCCACGUUCAAUUCCCAGGCAGUGCA
rnacentral:tRNA from 1 species